GGUAGCUGGGGUAUUUGUGUAUGGGCAUAUCUGAUUGGUCAGGUAGCUGGGGUAUUUGUGUAUGGGCAUAUCUGAUUGGUCAGGUAUCUGGAUGGGGUAUUUGUGUAUGGGCAUAUCUGAUUGGUCAGGUAGCUGGGGUAUUUGUGUAUGGGCAUAUCUGAUUGGUCAGGUAUCUGGAUGGGGUAUUUGUGUAUGGGCAUAUCUGAUUGGUCAGGUAUCUGGGGUAUUUGUGUUUGGGCAUAUCUGAUGGCAUCAAUAAAACAUUAAACUGUAACAGAAACCAACUGACGUCAGGGUCUUCUAGGCCUCUAUUAGCUGCCUUGGUAUCUGCACUGUGCCUGUGAUC
ensembl:lncRNA